rnacentral:misc_RNA from 1 species
GAUGAAGAACGCAGUGAAAUGCGAUACGUAGUGUGAAUUGCAGAAUUCAGUGAAUCAUCGAAUCUUUGAACGCACAUUGCGCCCCUUGGUAUUCCAUGGGGCAUGCCUGUUCGAGCGUCAUUUGUACCUUCAAGCUCUGCUUGGUGUUGGGUGUUUGUCUCGCCUCUGCGUGUAGACUCGCCUCAAAACAAUUGGCAGCCGGCGUAUUGAUUUCGGAGCGCAGUACAUCUCGCGCUUUGCACUCAUAACGACGACGUCCAAAAGUACAUUUUUACACUCUUGACCUCGGAUCAGGUAGGGAUACCCGCUGAACUUAAGCAUAUCAAUAAGCGGAGGA